rnacentral:snoRNA from 1 species
GCUCAGGGUCUGGUUAAGACGGUGUUCUCAGAGCCAAUCGCCUGGAUUCGAACUCUGGCUCUGCCACAUACCCCAUGUGUGACCCUGAGCACAUUACUUCAUCUCUCUGUGCCUCUAGUUUCUCACUUGCAAAAUGGGGGUAAUAAAAAUGUCUCGUAGAGUUGUGGGCAGAUU